CACAACAACUCAACGUCGCUACUCUGGUAUUAGAACUAUACGGUUUAGCAAGACUUCUCUUCUCUUUUCUUAUCUUCUCCGGAUAAUCAAACAGAGGGAGAGAAUCUAAUAUUACAUUGCCAAAUCUAACUCUAGAUCUGAGAGUGACCCAUCACUAUUCCUGUGUGUCUGCAAAAUGCCUCCCACACCCCCUGCUCACUUUGCGCUCCUUCUCGCUUCUCUUUUCUUAUCUUCUCCCCAUCAUCCCCAUUGUUGAUCAAGCCUAAAGCCCCAGAGCUUCGCUCUUUCAGAGCAACUUCUCGUUUCCUCGAAAGAUUUGCAGAGCUCCACAAAAUAAAAGCGCUUCCGAAAUCAUAUCAAUAUGAGACGCGAAACUUCACACAACAUCUUGAUCAACACACUGGCUCGGUGCAGAGCGGACGGGCCCUAUUUUUCUCUACGGUGGUAACGAAGGCGACAUCGAGUGAUUCGCUGCUAACACUGGCUUCGUUUGGGAGAUCGCUUCCAGCUUUGGCGCUUCUCUCCGAGAGCUUGACAUCUCCAACACUCAGAUUUUUGAUCGCCAGCUCUUGAACUACUCGCUUGAGGAAACGUGUCCGUCGGGAGAGCAGCUGACACCCAUCUACCUCACUUCUUCCUCCCGAUGCCGAUGCCAAUGUCGAUAUUGAUAUCUUUGUCCGAUAGUGAUGGUGACUACAAUCCCAGAUCGAGGAAAUUCAAAAGAAGGAAGGAACUCUACCAACUAGUAUUUCAAAAUAUUAGGGAACGAUAUAAAUGAGUCACCAAUGAGAGAAGGAUAGCCACACUCCAAAAUAUUAAGAGAGAACGGAUGGUCAAACUAAGAAACACUGCAAUGGUGGCGAAGAAAUACAAAAUGAUUCGUGAAGGGAUACCAUAUGCUUCAAGGGUUGCUACUCGUCUCCCCCAAGUAUUCUGUCCUUUGGGGAGAAUCGGUGACUCUCCACGAAAUCCUAUUGUCAUACUUGACGAUAGGGAUAUCCCAACGAUUUUCCUCCACAAAGAAGAACCAACGAAUGAAGAUACCAAGGGAUUGCGAAUAGUGAAAAUAGAAAAAUACUAGGAUAUCAUCUUUCUGUUGCAUUUAUCUUCUUCUUUUUCUUUUAUCCCCCCCCCCCAAUACUGCAAUAGCUAUUAAGUUGUUGAUAUCUACCUAUACGUGGGUGUAUUCUAUCUAAGUUCAAUGAUUAUUGAUUUAGCUUUACUAGCUUAUGGAGUAUAAACUGUAGCUUGUUUCCAUGUGAUGUUCCAUCCAUUAUGUGCUCUGUUCAUCUUUUUUUAAGAACCCAUUGUGUAGCUAUGUAGUCAUUGAUGUGAACAUCAGUGUAUGGCAUGUAUCUGGUUAUGUGUUAUUCACUGCUUGACUCCGAUCUGAUGUUUUACUAAAAGUUAGAUCUUUUAGACUAUGGAGAUUGCUUACAAUAAAGUUUCUGUAAAAAAUCUUCAUGUACUGUUAUGUUGAUGAUGACUCAGUUCCACUACAGAUCUGCAAUGGGUUUACAUUCUUAACACCUAACAGGUCCAACUACACAUAAAUGAACCUCCUUAUCUUUAGUUAGAACAGGCCUACUAUUAAGAAUUCACCUUAUCUCUAUCUCUAGAGUCAGCCUUCGUUCUUUUUUAUUAUUUCUCUUUUGGAUAUGGUUAUUUGUAAUCAAUUUUGGAUAAGGCCGAAGCUCUUCUUGGCUUCAUGCAAUCUUUAUCUGGUUUGUUAUAUCAGAUUCUAUUCAUAUAUUAAAGUUCUGUUAUUAUAAUAUAUAGUCACGAGGUGAGCAUGCAAUUUCCCACAAAUGGGCAUCGGGGUGAUGAAUCAUACAUUAAGGGAGCAUGAUUCACUAUCAUUCCCACCCCUUCACUAUAUAAAUGUAUUCUUUAAACAUUUGGCUGAAAUACUUAAUUAAAACCUUUGAUUGGAAAUGCUUUGAAAUUGGGUGUAUGAAUUACAUGGAUGAUCAUAAAAAAAGAAGUUAAAAUGGGUCAAACUAACUAAAUGAAUAUCUCAAUUAAUGAAAAUGAAUAAGGAGAAAUUUUCAAGAAAAAUAUUAGUACCUAUUAUGAAAAAAAAUGGAAAGAAAAUUACCAAAUAAAGAAAAAAAAUGAAAGAAAUAUUUAUAGACUCUUGAUUUUAGUUUCGGCCGAGUUAUGUUCAUUGUUAGCAAAAACAGGAACGGAAAAAAAAAACAAAGAUGUACGGUACUAGUUUUAAACA